rnacentral:lncRNA from 1 species
GCAACAAUUUUUUGGCCUAUUACAAUAGUUUUGCUACCGUCACCAUGGAUCUAAUUUCUGGUAGUGCUGGGUACCUCCAUUGGAAGGGUUAAAACUAAACGUGGAUGGUUCUUUUGAUCAUACCACUAACACUGGUGGGGCUGGGGGUUUACUGAGGGACAAAUACGGGGAUUGGGUGUGCGGUUUUAGUGCCAAAUUUGCUGCACACUCGGUAAUUCAUACUGAAACUCUGGCACUAUACCUAGGACUUAAAAUGGCAAAAUAAUUUCAUGGUGUGAUGGUUUCCAUAGCAACAGACUCUGCCAUCUUGGUAAACACUCUAAAUAAUAAUACUAUACUUGAUAAUAACUUGUUCGUUAUGUGCAGGAUCUUCUACUGGAGUUGGGGAUUAUGGCGAUACACCAUGAGGGUAGGAGAUCUAACGAAGCUGCGAAUAUCUUAGCAAAGGAAGCAAGGAAGAAGGAAGUAUCACAGUUUUUGAAGAAUGACCAGUACCACCUUUGUUUAUUCACAAAGCUAUUACAAUAGAUAAAGAAAUAACUUCCUCUAAUAAGCAGUUAAAUCUUAACUAUAGCAUGUCUUCUACUAACAUGCACUACUUUGAUAGGCACUAUUUUGAUAGACAAUGUUUGCCAGUAGACUCUACUUUUUGUAUUAUUAAUAGCUUAGGUGUAGACCCGAUAGGGUCAUAUCCGCAUCUUUGUACCUGUUAUGAUGCAUAUUAAGUUAUGAAUAAAAUGUCUCUUUAAAC